GGCUUUCCAACGCUAUGUUAUUUUCCUCACUCACUCUCUUUCUCUCUCUAAAACACUCUCUCCUUGGUUCCUCUCGAUUGCUCUCAUGAAGUACUCUCUUCGUCACUCUCUCCUUUGUAAAUUCCACUAAAUUGUUUUCUCUUCCCAGGGAACCCCCCUCCUUCAAUUUUUCUCCCCAUUGGAAGCCCUCUCUACUGCUCUCUUCCUUGGGGAUGCCCUCUCCCAUGCUUUCUCUUGGCAAUGAAGCAUCUACAAGAACAAAGAUCGGAGAAUAGCUUCCUCAUAUAGAUCGAAGCGUAGAUCGAAGAGCACCUCCGUAGAUCGAGCUCAUUGCUCACCUCUGGUUUAGAUCACCAUUCAACCACACCUUUCUUCUUCUUCGGUUCAGAUCUAGCGAAGCUUCAGUUGUUACCAGAGGGGUUUCUACGUUACCAGAGAUAUGGGGUGAUUGGCAAUGAUCUUUCUCAAUUUGUGGGGCCUCUUAUCUUGAAUCAACUUCUACAGAUU